rnacentral:pre_miRNA from 1 species
CCUCCGUUUCAUAAUAACCUCAUUUUUCGUUUUUCCGUCGUCUUAUUUGAAUUUUGUUUGUGAUUAAUAUUUUUAUUAUUACUAGAUGAUAAAAUAUGAAUAGUACUUUAUACGUGAUUAAUUUUUUUAAAUUUUUAUAUAAAUUUUUCAAAUAAAACGAAUAGUUAAACGUUGGACAUGAAAAA